CGUCGGAGUCGUCGCGGCUCGGCUGGUUUUGCAAAGUGUUGGAAACACCGCCAUGAGAAGAAUGGCGUCCAUUUACAUAAUGCUUUGUUUGCAUUUUGCGGGUUUCUUUUCGGUUAAACCUACAGAAACCCCACCUCCUUCCCGUAAUGUUGCUUUAACCUCCGCAGUCUUGUCAGACAUUUGAACAAUAGUGUGUUUCUGUGGAGACAUCAUUCACGGCAGUGCCGAGUAGGGUUUUGGGGGUUACUGCAGGUUUCCCAGCGAGGUCUACUGCUUUUCGGGCCUACUCGCUCUUGGCGCAGCCGCCGCGCCCCACUCUUUCCGGGGGCGGACCCGCCAUCUUGGACAGCCUUUCCGGCCGUUUUCUUCCCGCUAGGAAAUGCCGCUCGAGACACUGCCAAGGAAGUUGGGAUUUUUGCCCCUUUCCUUCCCUCCUUGGACUAAGGUCGUGCGAGCAAGGUGUUUUAAAAUCCCGUAGAGAGCGACUAACGUGGCGCUCGCCUGACCCCCCCCUUUCUCCGCGGGGGUGGCCGCCAUGUUUAUUGAGCACAAAAUGGCGGCAUGUGGCCUGGAUACGUAGCCAACGAGAAAUUGAGAGGAAGAAUUUAAACCUAGAGAGAUGAGGUGACUAAUUCAAGGUAACAGUGUUGGGAGCGGAAUCCAGAACUUCUCAUUUCCUUGCUGGGCUGUCUGGUAUAUGCCUGUGUGAGGCUCAGCAUGCUGUGAUACAGACUAAUUGAUGGUGAAUCAACUAUUGUGUAAGGCCUGGGCAGUAUCAUUUCUUCAGGUGAGACAUGGUCUUGGUUAAGAAUGUGACUUUGGAGCCAGCCUCCUGGGGCUUGAAUUCUGACUCAGUUGCUUUGUGUGAAGUUGGGGAUCCAACUCAGGACCUCGUGCUUGCAAGGCAGGUAGCAGCAGCACAGAGAAAAAUCUCAGGCCCUCAAUUUGAAAAUAGAUGUCUAACUCAGCUGGGCUGCCUCCUCUGUAGUGUUGUCUCCUUCGUGUGCUGGGGGACCAUCUCGCCACCCUGAAGGGAAUGCUCCCCAACACAGAUGAAAGCUGAGCUGCAGGAUGGGGAGAGGAGGAGACCAUAUGACAUCUUUUGUGUACCUCUUAAUGAGAAUUUGAUUUGGAUUUUUGUCACCUGUAGCCAGAAGUGCCUUGACUAAUCGGUGCCAUAAAUUAUAUAUAGUUCUCAUGACAGCGUGGGUCAGCCUUUUUCAAAAGAUCUCUGAAUUUUAAGCUAGAUGUGGUGGCACACGCCUGUAAUCCCAGCGCUGGAGAGACUGAGGCAACCUGGGCUCCACAGUGAGUUCAGGGUCAGCCUGAACUGCACAGUGAGACCCUGUCUCAGAACAAGCAAACAGUGAAUGUCGCCACCAAGUGCCAUCCAACAGAAAGGCAGACUUGUAAAAACUGUGUGUCUUCAUCCACCUUACUCACUGGAUCUGGUACCAGUGCCUUUUGGUCUCCCCCAAAGUCAAAAUGACUACAGAAAGUCAAUGUUUGAAUUGACACAGAACACUGAGAUGGCUAUGAUAGCACAACAAAAGAGGACUCCAGAGCUGCUGCAGAUAGUGGCAAGAAUGGGAAGACAAGUGUGUGAAAGCCAGGGCGAGGACUUUGAGGGAAAUGACUUGUGUGUCUUUUAUUUUAAUGAUUUUCUUAAAAAAUAAAAACUCCCCAUAUUCUAUUAUCACACCUCAUAUAGUUGAUCUAGAGUGUACUGCUACCUUGAUUCAUGGAAUUAGGGCUGUGGCGAAAUUGGCCAAACCAGGGAAGAUUUGAAAUCUUGUCCCCUGUGUGUCUCCUGCACUAGCCCACACCCCCGGUAUACAUAGAGAAUUUUGUCUCAGAGAUGGUUAAUUUCUAGUUGAUUAUGAAUCUCUGCCAAAUCACUAGUUCUGGUUUUUAUUGGGAGUAUUUUAUUAAACCAUGGAGUAGUGUGGCUCUGGCCUAGUAUUUGGAAAGCCUUGCAGAGGAGAUUUUGUGUCCAGGCACCUUUAUUGCUCCACUGUCUUUAUUAAAUCACCUAUUUCACUGGGGUAGUCCACCUUCCCUCUGGCUCUUGCCAGGAGUGUUUUAGAAGCUGUAGGAAAGCCAAGAAGUUGAUGAGACUUCACUCCCUAGCAUGAAACGCAAAUAGUAAUAGGUUUCCUGGGGUGACUGGGGCUCACUCCUUUAGCACUUUUGGCUGAAGCAGCUUUCAAGUCUGACCCCCCCCCCCACUUCUCCCGAUAGAAACUACCUUUCAUCUUGUCCCCCUGCCUGCUUCCCCUAAGGUUAGAGGCAGUGUUCCCAGGGUACAUGUGACUUUCACUGGCAAUUGACAAUUACAGACGGUUUACCAGUCAGUAAAGCUGCCAGAGGCUUUUGUGCUGUAAUAAUCCUUUUCCUGUUUAAAACUCCAGGGAUUUUUUACUGUUGCCAAUAGUUUUUCAAGUCAGCAAUUACGAUGUAGAUUAUGUAAUGGCUGGGUAUUAAAAAUAGAAAAGGCCAGGGUUUGCAUCUAUUUUAGCCGAAUCAAAACAGAGCAGAGGAGAGGGAGAAACCAGAGGAGGAGGAGGGGAAAAAAGAUCAUGUGAUGAGAAGCAGAGAUUGCAUCAUGUGACUAGAUAAUCUGGCCAUAAUUUAAGGCCUUUUUCUGCCGUUUGUGACUGAAGGACUGUCCUCCCUUUCCUCAGCCUGUUUCUGGGAGAGGGGUCUCGCCAAGAAUUCCUUCUGUGGACACUGGAUCCCUAUGGAUAUUCCUUAGCUCAGCCUUGGUCUUGCUUGGUAGUUCAAGGCUGGCCCUGAACUCACUGUGUAGCCCCGGCCGGCCUCAAACUCGCGGUGAUCCUCCGGCCUCCGCCUCCUGAGUACUGGGAUCACACGCACAGCCACCACGCACAGCUAUUACCGAGAACUUUCUUUGAGCCUGGCUCGUCUCCGCAUCGCCAGCACCUAGUGCAGAAUCCGGCACAGGUCAGAAGCGAGCACACAUUACCAGGGAAGGACUGCGCAUCUGAGCAAGCGGGCGCCUUGUGCUUGGGGCGGGGGUGCUCACAGUGGUGGAUUGCAGGAGGACCCGCCUGAGACCGUAUGCAGCAGGUCCUUGAAGAGAGGAGCUUCCCAGAGUCCAGGAGAGCCCGGGCAAGGCAUGGGGCUUGCAAGAGCAGAGCGUCAAAGGAACUGCGCCUGGUUCUGUGGCAGAAGUAGAGCCGAGUGUCAGACACAUCAGAUGCGGAUCUGGAGAAACAGAGUGGGACAAGGAACAACAGCUGUUGGCUGUGGGAAGCCUGGGAGGCUGGCUUUGCCUAGUGCAGAACAGAGCAGGACACAGGAGUGCCAGAUGCCAUCAGCAAGGUGACCAGGGCCAGCAGUGCCGGGCCAGGGGUAGGGAGGACAAUGUGCUGUCUGGGGGACACCAGGUGAGCGGUGUGACCCAAAGAGGGCAGGAAUAGCUGUGAGAGGGCUUUAGAUGGCAGUGGCCUGGCGUGGGAGGUUGACAACGUCCACGAUUUCUAGCUUGGGUUCUUGAGUGAAUGCUAACGAGCACCCCUAACACGGCAGCCCGGAGAGGAGCAAUUCUGAGAAAAAGGAACAGAGUUGAAUUUUGCUUCUACAACAAGACCUGAACAAGAGUCAUUGGAAGGGGCCGUGAGGUGUUUGGAGAGCCUCUGCAGGCCCCUCUCAGGGCAGAGCUGGAGUUGGGAGUCAGAUCUAGGUGUGCUCAGAUCACACCAGCGCUCUUCACUAUGUUUGCAGGAAUUUUGUGGGGCAGUGGUUAAACCAGCUAUUAGUAAACAUGAAACUAUAGCCAGGUGUGGUGCUGCACACCUGUAAUCCCCACACUCGGGAGGC